rnacentral:lncRNA from 1 species
UUUUGGUGAACCCGAAAAACCAAAGUGUAAAGGUUUUUGGAUUGUGAGCCCGGAAAACAAUCCAACUGUAAUCCGCGGGAUUAUAGUGAAUUCCCAAGGGGUCGCUUGGAGAGUGGACGUAGGUGCUAAGAAGAGCACCGAACCACUAUACUUCUUGUUGUUUGUUUUGUGAUUUAUUUAAGUUUACUAACUCUUCAUUUAACACAAGUAAGAUAGUUAAAAUUAAAAGAAACCAAUUCACCCCCCCUUGGCUUGUCACCUUGGGCAACAAGUGGUAUCAGAGCAAGGUGCUCCAAUAGUACUCAUUGAUCUCACAAUCAAGAGUUAAAGAUCAUGACAACCCAAGUGGGAUGUUCUAUGAGUGAGGGGCAAUCCACAAAUAGACCACCUCUAUUUAAUGGCACAAACUACACAUACUGGAAAGCUAGGAUGAGGAUAUU